UGAAAGCCUUUGGGUUGUAGCUCUUGUAGGGAAGAAAUGAUGUCUAAGAUAGUCCGGCUAACUUCGCCAGCGCCGCGGUAAUACGAAGGACCUAGCGUAUCGGAAUUACUGGGCGUAAAGCGCGCGUAGCCGGAGUAGUUAAUUGUGAAAUCCCAAAGCUUAUUGGAACUGCAAUUAAAACUGCUCGACUAAGUUGAUAGAGGAAAGCGGAAUACAUAGUGUAAGGUGAAAUCGUAAUAUAUGUAGAACACCAGUUGCGAAAAGGGGCGUGGCUUAU
rnacentral:rRNA from 1 species